rnacentral:rRNA from 1 species
GACGUAGGUGGCGAACGUUAUCCGGAAUUAUUGGGCGUAAAGGGUGCGUAGAUGGUCUAGAAAGUUAGUAGUGGGAAAUCGAGGCCCAACCUCGUGGAAACUAUUGAUACUGUUAGACUAGAGAACAGGAGGGGUUAACGGAAUGGUAUGUGGAGGGGUAAAAUCCAACGAUAUAUAUUGGAACACCAAUAAAGGCGAAGGCAGUUAACUAUUCUGCUUCUGACAUUGAGGCACGAAAGCGUGGGGAGCAAAACGG